CCUGUUCCAAAGCCCCCAGGAGAUCUUCCUAUCCUUACUACCAUGUAAGUGAAUCAGGCACCUACUCAGAUUUAAAAAUCUCAUCCUCCACAUUACUCACAAAGCAACUUAAAGAAAGGUCCCUUCCUGCCCUCUGGACUACACCACACCAUGCCAGCUUUGCAAAAUGGAAAGCUAGCAAGUGGACUGCAAACAUUUUCUCGAGGCAGAUGGAUGUGUCAGUAGUGACAGCUGCUGUUGAGCAAUUCCAAAGCGCUGCGUCUUUAUUCACUAAACUGGAGCUAGAGAAACUUCAGCUGAGGCAUUUCCCCCAAGGCGAGACAGUGGAGUUCCUGGGAAAUUGAGUCCAGAAAUAAAUCCAUCCAGCGUGAUCGGUUCAA